rnacentral:lncRNA from 1 species
UAGAGAUACAGUGAUUUGUGUGCAGAGUUCCAGGUCGAGAAAGCCUAUAAAUGUUCUUGCAUAAACUAGUCAUAAGCUACUGCCAUAUUUUGAGCUAACUCAUGUGACUGGAAGGGUGUAGAUAGUUAACACAGCAAUGGAAACUGGGUUCUAGCCAGAACCCAGUUCGUUUGCUGAUGAACACAUUCAGUCCUAUUCAGUCUGUAUUGAACAUCAGAAGGGAGCACCUGUUCUAUUGUUAAUGAAUUUCUGAACACCUCUUAGAAUUGUGUAAUAGGCACCAAAAAAACUCUGUUUCACAGCAUGAAUUCCCUUUAGAUCUUCACUUAAGAACUAUAUGUCGACUUCCAUGGUCCAGGAACAGCAUUUCAGCUAGAAGAUGAAGCAGUUAGAGGAUGCCCUCAACAAGAUGAAUGUCAGCUGAAACACUAAAAAAAUUGGUCCAUGGAAAGAAAUUACGAAGUAUUUUCAAUUUGCAGAGCUAUCAGCGCAUGGAAAAGGAAGACCCUGAAUUCCUAACUGUGAGCAACCCAAAAAGUUUGACAGGAACUAUUUCCAGUUAGCUCUCAACUAAAGGGAACAUGAUGUUGAUAAAUCCAUCUAAGUGAGAAU